rnacentral:rRNA from 1 species
UUUGGUGAUGAUGGCGGAGGGGUUCCACGCGUACCCAUCCCGAACACGACCGUUAAGCCCUCCAGCGCCGAUGGUACUUGGACCGA